GCGAAUAUAGCUCAGUAGGUAGAGCAGAAGCCUUCCAAGCUUAAAGCCGUGGGUUCAAGUCCCACUAUUCGCU
rnacentral:tRNA from 1 species